UGCAUCUAACCCUAUUUAAACGCACUAGCUACAUGAGAGGAGACAAGUCGUAACAAGGUAAGCAUACUGGAAAGUGUGCUUGGAUAAAU
rnacentral:rRNA from 1 species